rnacentral:rRNA from 1 species
AGUGAACGCUGGCGGUAGGCCUAACACAUGCAAGUCGAACGGCAGCACAGUAAGAGCUUGCUCUUACGGGUGGCGAGUGGCGGACGGGUGAGGAAUAAAUCGGAAUCUACUUUUUCGUGGGGGAUAACGUAGGGAAACUUACGCUAAUACCGCAUACGACCUACGGGUGAAAGCAGGGGAUCUUCGGACCUUGCGCGAUUGAAUGAGCCGAUGUCGGAUUAGCUAGUUGGCGGGGUAAAGGCCCACCAAGGCGACGAUCCGUAGCUGGUCUUAGAGGAUGAUCAGCCACACUGGAACUGAGACACGGUCCAGACUCCUACGGGAGGCAGCAGUGGGGAAUAUUGGACAAGGGGCGCAAGCCUGAUCCAGCCAUACCGCGUGGGUGAAGAAGGCCUUCGGGUUGUAAAGCCCUUUUGUUGGGAAAGAAAAGCAGCAGGUUAAUACCCCGCUGUUCUGACGGUACCCAAAGAAUAAGCACCGGCUAACUUCGU